rnacentral:rRNA from 1 species
CAAUAGCGUAUAUUAAAGUUGUUGCAGUUAAAAAGCUCGUAGUUGGAUUUGUGGUUCGUCCCGCCGGCUGGGUCAUUGACUUUUGCUGUGCUGGUCGUCCAUCCUUGGGUGGAAUCUGUGUGGCAUUAGGUUGUCGCGCAGGGGAUGCCCAUCGUUUACUGUGAAAAAAUUAGAGUGUUCAAAGCAGGCUUAUGCCGUUGAAUAUAUUAGCAUGGAAUAAUAAUAUAGGACCUUGGUACUAUUUUGUUGGUUUGCGCACUGAGGUAAUGAUUAAUAGGGACAGUUGGGGGUAUUCGUAUUCCAUUGUAAGAGGUGAAAUUCUUGGAUUUUUGGAAGACGAACUACUGCGAAAGCAUUUACCAAGGAUGUUUNCAUUA